rnacentral:rRNA from 1 species
AUUGAACGCUGGCGGCAUGCCUUACACAUGCAAGUCGAACGGCAGCACGGGAGCAAUCCUGGUGGCGAGUGGCGAACGGGUGAGUAAUAUAUCGGAACGUGCCCAGUCGUGGGGAUAACGUAGCGAAAGCUACGCUAAUACCGCAUACGAUCUAUGGAUGAAAGCGGGGGAUCGCAAGACCUCGCGCGAUUGGAGCGGCCGAUAUCAGAUUAGGUAGUUGGUGNGGUAAAGGCUCACCAAGCCGACGAUCUGUAGCUGGUCUGAGAGGACGACCAGCCACACUGGGACUGAGACACGGCCCAGACUCCUACGGGAGGCAGCAGUGGGGAAUUUUGGACAAUGGGCGCAAGCCUGAUCCAGCAAUGCCGCGUGCAGGAUGAAGGCCUCGGUUGUAACUAGCUUUGUAC